GAUCAUGGCUCAGGAUGAACGCUGGCGGCGUGCCUAACACAUGCAAGUCGAACGAAGCACCUUACCGGAUUCUUCGGAUGAAAGUUUGGUGACUGAGUGGCGGACGGGUGAGUAACGCGUGGGUAACCUGCCCUGUACAGGGGGAUAACAGCUGGAAACGGCUGCUAAUACCGCAUAAGCGCACGAGGAGACAUCUCCUAGUGUGAAAAACGCCGGUGGUACAGGAUGGGCCCGCGUCUGAUUAG
rnacentral:rRNA from 1 species